rnacentral:rRNA from 1 species
AGAGUUUGAUCCUGGCUCAGGAUGAACGCCGGCGGUGUGCCUAAUACAUGCAAGUCGAACGCGUUGGCCCAAUUGAUUGAUGGUGCUUGCACCUGAUUGAUUUUGGUCGCCAACGAGUGGCGGACGGGUGAGUAACACGUAGGUAACCUGCCCAGAAGCGGGGGACAACAUUUGGAAACAGAUGCUAAUACCGCAUAACAACGUUGUUCGCAUGAACAACGCUUAAAAGAUGGCUUCUCGCUAUCACUUCUGGAUGGACCUGCGGUGCAUUAGCUUGUUGGUGGGGUAAUGGCCUACCAAGGCGAUGAUGCAUAGCCGAGUUGAGAGACUGAUCGGCCACAAUGGGACUGAGACACGGCCCAUACUCCUACGGGAGGCAGCAGUAGGGAAUCUUCCACAAUGGGCGCAAGCCUGAUGGAGCAACACCGCGUGAGUGAAGAAGGGUUUCGGCUCGUAAAGCUCUGUUGUUAAAGAAGAACACGUAUGAGAGUAACUGUUCAUACGUUGACGGUAUUUAACCAGAAAGUCACGGCUAACUACGUGCCAGCAGCCGCGGUAAUACGUAGGUGGCAAGCGUUAUCCGGAUUUAUUGGGCGUAAAGAGAGUGCAGGCGGUUUUCUAAGUCUGAUGUGAAAGCCUUCGGCUUAACCGGAGAAGUGCAUCGGAAACUGGAUAACUUGAGUGCAGAAGAGGGUAGUGGAACUCCAUGUGUAGCGGUGGAAUGCGUAGAUAUAUGGAAGAACACCAGUGGCGAAGGCGGCUACCUGGUCUGCAACUGACGCUGAGACUCGAAAGCAUGGGUAGCGAACAGGAUUAGAUACCCUGGUAGUCCAUGCCGUAAACGAUGAGUGCUAGGUGUUGGAGGGUUUCCGCCCUUCAGUGCCGGAGCUAACGCAUUAAGCACUCCGCCUGGGGAGUACGACCGCAAGGUUGAAACUCAAAGGAAUUGACGGGGGCCCGCACAAGCGGUGGAGCAUGUGGUUUAAUUCGAAGCAACGCGAAGAACCUUACCA